rnacentral:rRNA from 1 species
GAUGAACGCUGGCGGCGUGCCUAAUACAUGCAAGUCGAGCGAACAGACGAGGAGCUUGCUCCUCUGACGUUAGCGGCGGACGGGUGAGUAACACGUGGAUAACCUACCUAUAAGACUGGGAUAACUUCGGGAAACCGGAGCUAAUACCGGAUAAUAUAUUGAACCGCAUGGUUCAAUAGUGAAAGACGGUUUUGCUGUCACUUAUAGAUUGAUCCGCGCCGCAUUAGCUAGUUGGUAAGGUAACGGCUUACCAAGGCUACGAUGCGUAGCCGACCUGAAAGGGUGGUCGGACACAUUGGAACUGAGACACGGUCCAGACUCCUACGGGAGGCAGCAGUAGGGAAUCUUCCGCAAAGGGCGAAAGCCUGACGGAGCAACGCCGCGUGAGUGAUGAAGGUCUUCGGAUCGUAAAACUCUGUUAUUAGGGAAGAACAAAUGUGUAAGUAACUAUGCACGUAUUGACGGUACCUAAUCAGAAAGCCACGGCUAACUACGUG